GCAGGGUUGUCUGCAAAUGAAUAAGUUACAGUGUGAAUCUCUGUGGCUGAGCUUUAUUCUGCAUGUGGUAGUGCACACUAUCUGCAUACUGAAAGGCUAAAAACUUUGCUCCCUCCCCUCCAAAGUCUUGCAACUCGUUUGGCAAUAGGGGAGAAUAUUAAUGCAGUGCUCAACUGUCAGCUGGUAUUCCUGACACAUCUGCGGACUCAUACUGCAGUACAGACCUCUUCAGGGAGGAGAUGGAUGAAUGGGCAGAUAAAAACGAUCAGAAAGUGAAUCACUCUGAGAAAGCUGGAGAGAGGCCAGGGACAGGCCAGGGAGGGGAUGUGAAUGCUGUUUUCCCUGCUGUGGCAGAUCCCUUAGGCUGUGCUGCUGGCAGGUCCUCUGCUGCACCUUCUUUUCUUCUCUGCCCAAGGAGCAGCAGGGAAUCUCCCCAAGGAGCACAGCACACACAGGAUGGGAGCCUGGACCAGAGGGAGCUUGGGCCAGGGGGAGCCUCUGAGGAAACCAAGUUACGACUCUUUAGAAGCACUAAUGUAACCACAACGGGAGAAAACAACAACUGCUGCAGAAAGUGGUUGGGGUGGGGCAAGAGGGGACAGGAAUCAAAAUGUUUAAUUCCAGAAAUAUGGAUGGACGCCCUCUGUCCAGCACAGCUGGUCAUACUGCCAGUUGUUCUGUGUGCAGGUACUGGGGUUCAUCAGAGGAACAGGCAUUCAUUUCCCAUACACAAGCAUUAAGGCUACCUCUUUCUCCUCUGCUUUCUUUAAAAUGCAUUUCAUAUGAUAAACAGCCAAUCAAUACAGACAUGACUUUCUAUUUUUUUGCUCAAAACAUUGAUCAAUAGAUGUUGCAGCUGUCUGCUGUCAAAGAUUUGAUUCACCAUGAAUAUUACAAAAGCUGAAUCGUUCUGAAGGCAUUUCCAUUCUCCUAAAAUUGUGUUUGAAUUUGCCUUGAAACAGCUGCUCGAUGCUGCCCAGGGCUUGAACAUUUCUCACAAUCAGAGUUUUCUCCAAUAAGAAAGAAAAGCAUCUUAAAGCUCUGCACUCCUUCCUGUCCCCAAUUUCAGCUGUAUCCCUACGUGUGCAUAAUUCCACGUUUUUAGAGACUGGCUCCAGAAGAGCAGCCUGUUGUCAUGGAGAGCUGAGAGUGAGCAGAGAGUGAUCAUGGAGAGCAACACAUUAUCCUGGCUUUUGUUUUCAACACUGACUACAUGAAACAUUUUUGGCUGGCAUGAAAGAGCAUCACCAGCUCCUUACACACUUCAGUGCCUCUGGGACGUUGUCAGGAGAGAAAAUUCCCUGCUUACUGUCAAGCAAUUUGCUGCUUACACACUUACAGGAGCAGGAAUGUGUAGUUUUCCUUGAGGGUCUUGAAAAUAGGCAUCGCUGAGUACUUUGUAAAAAAAAUACAGCAUUAUUUUCUGGACAUGAUUGUUAGAGGGUGACUAAAACAAGCCUCACCUCUCCUCGAAGAGAGCUGUCCUGACACUUCGAAAAUGUGGUGAAAUAAAGGCAACAAAGUGGUGGAGGCAGCCAUUAACACAUCCCAUGUGAGCAACUCACAAAUCCUCCUGAUCCAUCCUUUUCACCUGUCUGUCGUAUUACUAUUAUAAGGCACCCGGUCAAUAAGACGUUUUGUGACACCGAGGACCUUUAAACCUUGUCUCAGGAAGAGGAGCAAAAACACCUGCAGGCUCACAGGAGUCCAUUGCAUCCCUUGCAGGGCUGUGGCCCCACACUUCUGUCCUCUCUUCCAGAAAGAAAGUGAGAUGCUGUGUUUGCAGCUGAGCAGCCCAGGAAACAGGGCUUUGUGGAUUUAGCAACUAAUAUCCCAUGGGAAAAGAGGAUCUGUUAUUUACACUAAAAAGCUUCCCACUAGACCCAAGUCCCUUUCUUCCCCACUCUCUCUGUGCAAUGCAGACAGGGAGGAAAUAAUUAUAGGAUUAGAUGGAGGGAGUGGCUGGGUAUAAAUGGACAAACAGCUGAGAGAAUGGGCCCAUGCGGUACCUUUUUCUAAUACACAGUGGUCCUGGACAUUGUUGAAACAAUGUGUUUUAGCAAUUUCCUUGUACAUCAUGAAGUUUUCAACAACUACAGUGAUGCUCUGAUGAUUUGUAGCAUUUUAUACCACUCAAGAGCAGGCUGAUCCCAGUCUGAAGAUGCACUUCCUGCCUCAGACCUGGGAGAGCAGGCUGAAAGCAUGAACAGACACAUAGUGUUGAACUCUGUACUGAUCCCUCUGGGUCCUUGUUCUUAUGAUCCACAGAUGGGCUGAUAGACAAUUUCAGGUUCAGUACUGAUCUCUGCAGACUUUCAUCACCUAGACAGACAGAUAAAUAAUUUCAGUUCCUCUGCUGAUCCCUCUGGGUAAACAUAUAUUUUCAGAUUCUGGCUCAGUCCCUCUAGCAGGUCAGCAGAUAAGCAAACAGAGGGUCAAGUCAGGUCCUGCUUCGAACUCUCAUGUCCUUCCAAAUUUGGAUUAGCAAGACGUUCCUCAUCUCUCUUCUUCACCCCUUCUUCCUGCCUCUUGCCUGGCUUCUGGUUUCCCAUGCAGCCUCAGAAAGGGUGCACUGCAGCUGAAAACAGUAGUGAAACCUCAGGACUAGACAGACGUACGUUCUCUGUGCUACCUGACUGUGACUCAGUGCGACAAACAUUUGGAAUUAAUUAGAAGAGAGACUAUGAGUGGGAAGACUAGACACAGAUGCAAGCACCCCUUCCCUUUCCUUUGGCACUGUGCAGACACUCCCUGGCUCUGCCUCUUACCCCAACCUGUCUCCACAGUCCCAGCUCACAUAAAUCUACCUCCUUGUCCUCGAGACCUUGGCUCAGGACUCCUGGUAUGGCAUGUGGUGCACACACUUCUCCAGGGACUUCAAUACUCUCUUUCAGAGCAGAGCCUGCAGAAUAGCAGUGCAGCCACAGGUUGGGACUGAUGAGUCCCAGCAGACUCAGGCUUUCAGGUGCCACACAGGCCAUCCUGUGCUGAGGAUCUGCGACUCAAAGUCACAUCCAUCUAAGAACCAUGUGGCCAUCUUAUGUGAUGAACAUCUCCCUCAGCCCUCUCUGUCUUUGCAUUCUGGAUUACAGGCUCCAGUGCUCACAGCGUAUUUCUUACAUGAUUAUUUUAGCAUCUUCUGCAAGUGGUUUGCAAGCAUGGACAUAUUUCCUGCUCACUUCACACUGCUUCCUUGCCAGGGCCUGGUGGAGAACUGAGGCACCCUGGCUCCCAGUCCUUCCCCUCUUUCGCUAUUAAGCCCCAGUGCCUGGAACUGAGGUCUCACGGUCUUCACAAGCCAACUUUUCCAUGAGAUGGGAGGUGAACCAAUGUACCCUGACUCCCAGGUCUUGCUGCCCAUGGUGGGCCCUGUUACUUUUGGUUUGCUGUUUAGCUGGAGAAAUGUUGUAAGGAGUGGAUUUAGGGAUGUUGGGAGAGAGGGUUAAUGCUACUCCUUUCUGUCAGCGAGGAAAUCUCAAAAGCCUAGGGUUUUUUUUUUUUACAUUCACAGAAUCACAGAAUAGUUGGAGUUGAAAGUGACCUCUGGAGAGUCCAACCCACCUGCUAAAGCAGGUUCACCCAGAGCAGGUUGCAGAGGCAGGUUUUGAAUAUCUCCAGAUAAAGAGAUUCCACAACCUCUCUGGACAACCUCUUACAGUGCUUUGUCACCCUUAAAUAAAUUUCUCCUCAUAUUCAAAUGAAAAUUCCCGUGUUUCAGUCUAUGCCUAUUGCCCUUUAUCCUUUCAUUGGGCACCACUGAAAAGAGUCUGGUCCCAUCUUCUUGACAACCACCUUUAAGAUGCUGAUAAGCACAAAUAAGAUCCACUCUCAAAUAAGAUCCAGGCUGAACAGACCCAGGUCUCUCAACCUUUCGUCAUAAGAAAGAUCCUUCAGACCCCUAAUCAUCUUUGUAUGCUCUCCAGUAAUUCCUUCUCCUUCUUAAACUGGGUAGCCCAGAACUGGAUACAGCCUCAUCAGGGCAGAGUAGAGGGAGAGGAAGUCACAGGGGCACCCCAAAAGUUUAUUUUAGGUGGUCAACAAGUUCCAAAACAGACUUGACUCUAGACAAAAAAGUGUAGCAAAUAAACCAUCUAGAAACAGGGUUAUACAAUUAUUUAGCACUCAGACAACAUAAAAUACACAUUCGAAUAUCAUUUGAGGAGAUUAUUUGGGUAUGACAACAUAAGAAUAAUGUGGAUCCACAAUGUGCACGCAUACACUCACAAGAAAAAAAAACAGAGGCCCCUCACUCCAGGGUACCCACAAGAAAAUAAUCACUCACCUAGGUUAGGGGAGGACUCAUUCAAGGGUGUAUGCAGUAAAUAACCACUCACUCAAACAAGUAGGUGAGGUGCUCUCAAUCCCAGGAAGUCUCCUUAGACUGUGUUCCAGUCCAAGGGGAGGGCUCCAGUUCACAGAUCUGCUCCAAGAAGACCACUCAAAGGGGGUCUUCAGCAGGGACUUCAUUUUAUAUCCUGGUCACAUCUGGCUGUGAGCAUUACAACGUAGUCCAGAAUCUUCUCAGCUACUCUGGGCACCUUCUUUGUCAAGGACCCUGUCAAUUGACUGAGAGUCCCACUCCUCCUGCCCCCUCAGCUGGGUGGAGGUGAAAUCUUCCUGCCCUGGAGUACGGGAGGAUUUGACUGUCAGCACCUUGGUACCACCCUAGGUGUGUAGUUGGGGACAGGCAUAGUGGGGCACAAAAGGUGCUGAAGAGCCAUCAACUACCUCGUUGAAGGCUCGGGAUCUCAGAGGGAUGUGCAACUGCCACAAAGGAUAACCUCCCUUGACCUUCUAGCCAUGCUCCUCCUAAUGCACCCCAGAAUACUGUUGGCUUUCUUGGGCAUUCCUUUAAGACUGGUUGCACAAUUCCUUUUCAAAAAGUUUUAUUGAGGUAGCACACAUCUUUUUUUUCUAAGGGGAUAAAUCUACAUGACAUUUUUUGCUAGGACCACUGACGAAUGCAGUGGCCCCCAGGAACUGUGAUUCACUUCUGCUGUCCCAUUCUUUUCUCUUGUAUAUUUUCAUAAAGAGUAUCUAUUCCCUUUUAAAAUAACUGUAAUGAAAAAAAAUGGUGAAAGAAAAUCAGGAUUAUUCUGGCCCAGGACUGUGGUAUAGUGACCAGUGGAAACUGUAAUUUGGCCUAAUGCUCCUUCCUUUUUUCCUCUUGGGGAAUUCCCUGCUAUGUCACAAAUCUACAUACAUAUAACAGCAUAUCCUUUAGGAUGGAGAAUAAUAAGCAACACAGAGGUGAAGUACUUAGCACUUUCUGGGUUAUUUCCAGAGAUCUUGACUGAGAAGGUCUGCAUUCAAGAGCCAUUGCGGCUUCUGGUUUUGGCCUGGUCCUUCAGGUUAUUUCAGAGCUUUGUACAGGUUUUAGUGUCAGCCUGUGUUCUGUUUAUGGCUUCAGUUUAUGGCUCCCUCCAAAUAAGCACAGAGCUCUCCUAAGCUUCCUGGAGUACUCGUAACCCAACAAUAAUACGUUAGACUCCUAACUAGUAUGAUUAACUUAGGCAGUUAUGAAUUGCAAAAUAAAUAUAUAGAAAAGCCGAGGUCUUUUAUGCAUUGUCUGGAUUUGUGACAUCCAAGGAACCUCCUUUUCAUGCCUGAUUGCCUAGCCAGAGGCUGGGAACACAUUAUUUGGUUAAAAAAAGUUGAAUUAGUUCUGUCACAUCUUGACUCUAAGGACUGGGUCCUUAUGAGAGAGACUAACAAUCAGAUGAGUUUAUUACAUGCCAGUGAUGCAGUGAAAUUCAAUUAAUUUGUUUGCUGUGCUUCCCAGAAUGAGAAAUAGACAUGCCAUAAAUGUGAACAAUGCCAUCAGUCUGGUUGUGUGUCAGUAAACAAAUGUAAUCCGAUGAUGUUUUGGAGUCUCACUGUCCUUCCUUACACACCCCUGGUUUCCCAGAGGCUCCAAGGAAAAUGGAAGGACAUGACACGAACACACUUUAUCUAGCACAGUGUUUCAGACCCCUGCUUUUGCAUUGUGACCACCUUUGACCCUACUGGGAACAAUGGGAUAGUAUGUAGGGAAGAAGUCCUUGUCUGGUCUGUUGCCUUCCCAAUUACUGCAUUUCCAUGAACACAGGAGCCAAAUGGGACAUCUGCAAGAAGUCAGACAAACCUCCCUAGGCAAAAAAUGUUCUCCAAAGUUGGUAAAAUAAUUAAUUCAAAGGACUAAGCUUGGAGGAACACUCAGCCUGAAUGACUUCAUCUCCUUCUCCCCUAAAGCAGCUUUUUGGGACUCAAGGCAUGGAUCAAAACACCUAUGGGUCCUCAAGAACUUUGUCCCUUGGCCUUGACCUAGGCUUUGGGUCUGCUCUUCUUGGAUGGAGAGGUGGUCCCCAUCCAUGUUGCCAGAUAAACUGCAGAAAUGAGUGAGGGAGCACAGACUGGACACUCAGAAAGUUGCCAUGUCCUUGGCUGAGGAUUUUGUUGGGCUCAGCUGGAACAGGCCCUGCCUGGUAAUGUAGGACUGGUGUCUUACUGAUAUGAGGAUGCAGACAGAUGGAAAGCUCAAAAGGAAAAUUCCUAGGAGGAAUCAUGAAAACAGGAAAUGUUUAUACUCCUUCUGCCAAACAAUCAUCAGGAAAAAAAUAUCUUUUUUUGCAGAGGAGUGGAAAGCUCUGUCCUCAUAUUCAUCCUAAAGGGCAUAACAGAGAAAUCCUUAAUAGCUUUGAGAAUUGGCAGGUCAUGACUUGAAGGUAAAAAUUGAAAAUAAAAAAUUGAAAUAAUACGUCCAUCUGCAGUCCAUGAAGUGCCACACAUCUGGAAGUCAGUCCAAGGUAAAUGUUCUCUUUCUUUUUUGUUUAAGUCUUUUUGAUAAAAGAGGCUUAGCUACAGGACCUAAAGUAGGAGAUGUGUAUCAAGUAGCUGAAGGACAAAAUUACAGGAGUGAGGAGACUUUAGCAGGCAUUCCCUUCCCUACAGUUCAUUGCAAGUGGGGACUUACAGUAUCCCAGGGCCAGUCAAACUCAUGCAAGGACUUCAGCACAGUCAGUUCAGUCCUGAGCACGGUGCUGGGUAGUAGCUUCAGACACAACCCAGAAAAGGUAUCCUCUCAGCCCAACAGCUUUGUGUGUACCAUUGAGGUUUAUCCUGAAUCAAAAUAUCCCAAAAAGAAAAAGCAGCACACCUGAUUCACCUGUGGAUAUAUGACCUAGGAACCAGUAGUGUUUCUUGUUAAAAAAGCAACAGGAAUAGUUGGCUAAACUUUUGUCCCUGACUGGGCAUGGUUAGGUUAUAUGAUAAGGAGUUUUGUGUCUUCACACACACAAGAAAGCACAGAGCAAUGACAGGAGGGGAAGCACAAGUAUUACCCCAUCCCAGCUCCCUUCAGCCCUAAUACAGGGGACAUCAGCCUAUCAAAAGCCUAUCAAAAGCCUAUCUGCACAAGCAUGCCAGAGCAGAGAGGCCCAAAAACAGGGGGAAGUCCAAAUUACAGACUCAGAGAAGGCAACACCGUGUCUGGUCUGCUCUCAGGACUGUCCUGGCAGACCUUCAGCCCCAUCCUGGGAAGUCCAUGGCAGAAGCUCUCUGAAGCAUCCUGUGGACUGAGUUGGGUUACAAGACACAUUAUGGCAUUAAAUUCUAUUUAUAGCUACUUUCAGUGAGGCGGGGGUGCUCCCUAUUCUGUGUACAUGUGUGUGUAUGGGAAUCUGAGUGCAGCAACAUCAGAGUUGGAGGAUCUGUGUGUCCACGGUGCAGCAACCAGAUCAAGUGUGGGUGUGCAGGUGAAUGAUCCCUAGUGAAGCUCAAGCUUCAAACUAGCCAGUGAGGUGGCCUGGGAGAAUAGCAUGGGUCUAUGUCACUGGGUGUGAGACUAUGGGAGGAGCUAGUCACAGGGAGACCAGAGGGUUCUGGCCAAGUGGUGGAGAGACUGUGGGGCCCAGGGGUUGAUUAGGAGACUUGUAUGUGUGUGCAUGCAUGUGAGGCAACAGGGCAGAAUGAGGAUCCAGACUGUGUGUCUAAGUCCAGCUACUAGGGGCUCCACAUACACAACUGUUUCUUUGUUUCUUUCUCUAUAUAUGUAUUUUCCACUAAGAGACCUCCAUCCUGAUGAGCUGGAGGGGGAUGAGUUCAGGCUGGUGGUGCUAUUUGUGUUUGCAUGGGUGCUAAGUAGCUCUGUCUGUGUGAUCAGCCAAGUUCAUAGUAUAUGUGUGCUGUACAUGUGUGUGUGCCUGCUGGAAAUAGCUGCUCAGCCUCACCAACAGCUGGACCUGGGGAUUCAGAGCUGCAGCAGCCUCGCCUCUAUCAGGCUGCCAGAUUAGGCAACUGCCCAGGUGAUAUACCAAGAAAUUAGGUUUCAAGCAUUCCUCUUGAAGGGGAUGGAAAGGCUUUGGAGUGUCAAUACCAUCCUCACACUACUGUCUCAUUCCUGGACAUCUGGGCUGCUAGAGAGAACAAGCCAGUUCACUGAAAGAGAAAAUAUGCUGUGGGAAUCCAGGCAGCAGGGAAGGCUGUUGCUUUAUAUUCAUUUGAAGAGUGAAUAAUUGCAGGGGUUUUCACACAAUUUCCAUAAUAUAAACUCUGUGUGAGGAGCUGUGUGCUUGCCAGGGUGCUCUGCGCAAGGAUGCUGUCUUAGUCCUAAAUCCAGGGCUCUGCAUGCAGUUCUCCCUCAUCCUGGGAAAAAUACAGAGUGAAGUUUUUGGAAGGAAUAAAGAAAUGUGUUCCAUUCAGGGGUGGAGUAUGAUGUGUGGGUAUAUUAAAGAAAAGUGAGAAGACCUGCUUUUGAUCUGUGCCAUGACUCAUGAGAAGCAACCUGGGGAAGGGGAUGCUUUGCAGCACUGUUAAUGCAGAGAUGCUGGGCGAUCUAUCACAAGCUUCUCAAAGAGCAUUUUUUUUAGUGCAGGCUGGUAACUACUUCAGUGUCUUAUAGCCAAUUCCUCUGAGAUUUCAGGUCAUUUGUCCCUGUGGAUUAGGCUGUACCCAUUGUCCUCUGUUCUCUCACAGAUACUGGCCUGGGAAUUUGCUCCAGUUCCCUAGCUUCCCAUCACAUUUGCUUUUUUGUCUGUUUUCCCUUCUCUUUCUCUAUCCCACACAUCACAGACCUUUGCUGAUCAGUGAUCCCUCAUCUUUGUCCCUUGUCCCUAGGUAAAACCCUUUAUCCACAAAAGCGGGCGUACUCACUGCAGUUUGUGACUGUCCUCACUUUUUGGACUGUCCACAACGCUCGGUAUCUCCCAUCUGCUUUCAGCAAGGCAUACACUACUGAUUUUCCACAUCCUCAUCUGCAAAAAGGAAGCUGGGGCCCUACCUCUGUACAUUAGGGACUUGCUGCUCCACGUUUUUUCUCCUGAAAUAACAAUAAGAUUACAGUAUCUGGAUGUCUUUGUUUUUGGAGCAGGCUGUGAGAUACGGUGGUUUGAGAAUAGGUGACAAGGAGCUAGGACCUCAGUGUUCUCUUUCUGCUAUUCCAUUUAUCACAGAGGAAAUGAAGCUGUGACUUAUAGCCCAAAACUGCCAUAAAUACUGUCUUACAGGGAAUCCAACAGGAUGGAGAAGUGGCCCAGCAGGAGCCUCACCAAGUUCAACAGAGGCAAAUGCAAAGUUCUGCACUCCUGGUGGAAUAACUGGCAGCAGGAUAGGCUGGAACUGACAGGUCAGAAAGCAGCUUUGCAGAAAAACCCCUGCAGGUUCUGUUGUAUAACAUGGUGAUCCUGCCACAGCUGUAUUCACUGGCAGCAAAGCAAGCCAACCACAUUCUGCACUGUAUUAGCAUGGGUGCAGCCAGCCCUUCAGCUUGGCACUGGUGAGACCACAUCUGGACAUUGUGUCUAGUUUGGGGUCCCCAUUACAAGACAGGCAUGAACGCACUGGAGCAAGUGGGGCAGAAGUGCCCAGAUGGUCAGGGGCUGGAGCACAGCAGCUGAGGGAAGUGAGCUUGUUCAGCCUGGAGAAGGGGAGGAAAAAGGGGGACUUCAUUGCUGUCUACCACUGCCUAAUGGGAGGUUACAGAUAGAAUGAAGCCAGGUUCUUCUUGGAGAUGCAAAGACACAAGCUGGAACAUGAGAAAAUACAAGGGGAAAUAUUUCACCACUGUGGGAGUGAAAUACUAGGGCAGGAGAGUAAAUGGAUGAGUAGGAUCCCCAUCCUUGAACAUAUUCAAAAGGCAUCUGACCAAAGCCUGGAACAACCUGCUCUGAACUGACUCUACUUUGAUCUGUGGUUAGGCUGGAGACUUCCAGAUUUCCCUUCUAAACUGAAUUAUUCUGUGUGUUUAUGGUUGUUUUUGAGACCCUGGGCAGAUUCCUUUCCUGAGUGUAUCCUCCUUGAGGAAUUCAACACAGAAUUACAGACUGAGAGAGCAGGAUCUGUUCUAAGGACCAACAGAAUUUCUAGUUUCUUUCUCUAACAUCCUGUGGAAUAGAGUUCACUGUUUACAACACAUGCCUUUGAAGUAACUGUGGUGUAACUGCAGAUCUUAAAGUGUAUGUCUUCUCUCCUGGACUCUGGAUAAGAAGUGAGGAGCCAUGAUCUCCAGCCCUUUCCUUCUUGUACCACUAUGCCAGCUCUGCACUGAAGCUUGUUACAGGUCUCAGAAGGUCUAAGCCCCAUUCUCAACUUUGCUUUAGGUACAUAUUUACCACUAUUUCCAGGUGAGAGUACUCUACCGAAGGACUGGAAGCUGAGAAAUGUUUCCCAAGGUGUUCUGUAGUACAUUUCUGCCCUGAUAGAUCACCAAAGGAUACCCAGUUGUGUGAACCACUGCUUGUAGGUGUGGACUGAUCAGAAGAUCUCUUCUGCACUCCAAUCUGGGACUGCACCUUCUUAUGGUCACUCAAAUAAACAAUCUUUCUCUGGACCUUCAUCCUUGUGCAGCACCAGGGAGAUCUGCUGGGCAUAACACCCCCUUUCUUGUCUAUUUCCUCCAGAUUAUCCUGUUUAGUGCUGGGUACAGGGAUCUCUUAAAAUAUUCCUAGACAUUUCAAAGUCAUAUAUCAGACCCCAAGCUUGUAGGAUUGGCCUAAAACAUACUAGUUUGUGGGGGAGAAUGGGGUGGGUGAGUUUUUUUGUUUCUUUUUCACAGGCAACCUGUGGAAUCUGUCUUCUUGUCUUGUAGGAUUUGAGCCUUCAGCAAUCCUGUUUUCAAACUUUCCUUUUCAAGGCACAGAAGGAUAGAAGUUUAUUUCUGAUUUAAGAAAGUUGAAAUGCCCUGUCAGUUCUUGAAAAAUGAUUGAUAACAAAGCAGCGUUGCUUUGAAAUUCAGAUAAUAUACCUGUUGAGUUUUCUAGAUUCAGCUAUGCACAGACCAUAGCACCUUAAAGCAUUUGAGAAUGUACAAAGAUGUCUCUGAGAUUUCUUUAUCUCCAAAAGGAUGCAAAGGGUGAGAGUUACAGAGCUGGGGACAGAGGAGGGCUUGAAGGUCCUGGAAUUUUGUACAUUGGGUAUAAAGUUAUUUCCAGAAUAAUUCUAAUCUCAAAACUGAAACUUGGAAAAAAAAAAAAAAAAAAAAAAAAGGUGGUGUUUGCUCCAAGAGAAACACUGAAAGAAAGACAAAUGGGUUAGAAAAUAUUUCAUCCAUAGUCACCUUUCACUUGGCCUCAAGCUCCCUGGAAGUGGGAGACAGCCCAUCCCAGCUUCUACCUCAGCAGUGUCACCUCAAUGUCUGAUCUCUUCUUCAGCCGGCACAGAGCCUUUAUUGCUAAAAUAUUUGCAUUCAUUAUCAGUAGGUAAUGGUGGCUUUUUCAGGCUGGAAGAAAUGUCAUAGGGAUGGGAGCAGAGAGCGACAGAGACCUGGCAGGUCAUGAAAGUGUGAGUAGGGAUUGCCUGAAUUUUCCUUCAUUUUCAAAUUGGAAAAGAAGCCACAAAUGAAGCUAAAAGGAGUUAGAUUCAAAAGCUAGCAGGACAUGAACCUCAUCCAACAUGCACCUGGUUGGUGAAGCUCGAGCUACAGGAUGUUGCAAAAGCCAUGUGCCUGCAUGGUUUCAGGGGGAGACUAAGCAAGUGGAUGGAAAAUAAAUAAUUUCAGGGUAAAUAAAUACGCCCAUAAAUAUGGGCCAGGAGCUCAUCUUAAGGGAGCCUGAGAUGGAGCCUCAGUAAAACUAUAACAGUUUGGAAUAUAACGGAAGGAAAUCUUUGGGUAUUGUCUACAGAUGUAGGGCUCACCUGUCAGAAGACGGGAAAAGUGGGCAGUAAAAUUUGUUGUUCCUGGAAGACUUGCCAACACUGAUUUCAGAGAGGCCUUUUGUGACUUUUAGACCACAGAAAAAAUUUAACAGUAAAAUGUACUGAGAAUGUAAUAGACUAGUGGGAGAGAGGACUGAACUGCUGUGAUUUAACCUAUCCAGGAACUUAACUUACUGUAGACACUACAGCUGACUGUUCCAGGAAAGCUGCCAGAAAGUAAUAAAAGCAAAUAGGGAUUUUGUAAAAAAAAAAAAAAAAAGUAAAUUCUCUGUUAUCUGAAAGAGGAAAUGCAAUCAGUUUAGAAAAGAAUGACAGAAAAUCUUUUUAUAUCUAACCUCUAAAAGCCCUGAAGUAUAUUAGCUGAGGAAGAUUUAAUUGUGUGCAAGCAGCACUGUUGGUGGAGAAUUAAGAACUUUCACCUGGAGUUAGGGAAACUUUUAUAACAGGUUAAAGAUAAAGGAUUUAGGAUAAUAAGAGAAAAAGUAAAAGAGAAAAAUAUUUAAAAGUACCUUUCUGACACUGUGUUUCUGGAAUGGAACACAAAGAACCACUAUGAAUCUCCUGUGCUUUAAUCAAAUUACAAUAAACAGUAUUAAUUUUGUAGAGUAAGUAGAUAAGAAUCGGGAUUGCCUAAAUUGCUGGAGUUAGAAGUUCAGGCUAUAUUUCGUGACUCACCAACCAAGAGUAAACUACCAGUAGUGACAAUCCAAAAAGCAGUACAGAUGAUUACAUUUGCUUUAAUUAGUUUCAAGGAAACUUGAUUAAAAUUAACUGAAGUGCUGUGAACUAGCUGUUGUGCUGUCUUGGAAAGCAGAAUGGUUUUCAUAGUGUUUUAAAACUGACAGGGCAGGGAGACCCUGCCAGCUGAGCCUGUUUGAUGGCUUCAUUCAAACCGAAGGCAGACUUUAUGCAAGCUGAAAUCCAAGCAGUGACUCUCAGACUGAACCUAGGGCAUUCCUUAAAGAGGGAAAACUGAUAUGAAUUUGUUGAUGUCAAGAUACAUCUUAAGGACUUUGUUUCACUAAACACAGCCAAAAACUGGCAUCAGUUCUACAGAAAAGCACAAGCACCAGCUUCCUGCCCAACAUUCUUGAUUUGGGCCAGAAAGUUGUACUUGAUUCAAAAGAAGCUGAACCUGCCCACAGUACACUCUGAUCUUUCUAUGUGAAAAAAAAAAAAAUAAUCUGAAAAUAAUCUGUUAUUGAUGAGGUGGAGAAAUGAUCUCUAUAUGGGGAGGAAACACUUGAACACGUGCUUGGGAAAUAAAAUGAACACAGAACAGCGCCCAGAAAGAUGCUGGACUUACUUGCAAAGCAAAUUAUAGAAUCAUGGAAUAGUUUGGCUUGGAAGGGACCUUCGAAGUUCAUCUAGUCCAACCCCCCUGCAAUGAGCAGGGACAUCUUCAACAGAUCAGGUUGCUCAGAGCCCUGUCCAGCCUGGCCUUGAAUGUCUCCAGGGGUGGGGCAUCUACCACCUCUCUGGGCAACCUGGGCCAGUGUUUCACCACCCUCAUUGUAAAAAAUACAAGAUCAUCCUUAAAAGAAAUCCAUUGAAGGAGAUAACAUGGGCAUCAAAAGGAAACCAGCACUGAUUCAAUCAGAGGUGCAAAAUCAUGACUUGGUGUGUUAAAAACACUGACCCCACAGGCAUUGAAAGCAGUGAUAAUGAUAUUAAGCAGAUCACAUUCAGCAACCACAGAGAGCAAAGUGUAACAUGUGAUGGUGGUAUCUGUGAAUAAGUUAUUGGAUGUGAGUGAUGUUAGAAGAUGGGAGCAACACUGCUGGUGAUAGUGUGCAAGGAAGAUUGCAGAAGAGAACAGGAGUCUCUCCAGCAUGGAGAAAGCAAAGGCAAAGCUGGGAGCACUGCAAAUGAUGAGCUGGUUUUUUGUCAUUUAAAUAGGAAAUUAGAGUAGGUAACUUACUUGGAAAAAGAAACUUAGCAUAGUGUUUUCUCAGUAAAACAAAAGCUUACGGCUUUCAUAAAGCAUUGUGACAAAGUAUUCGUGGUCUUGAAUCAUGAUAUUGAUCAGUCAACAGAAGCAGUUAUAGGAAAUAAAAGGUGUGCUUGAUCUUAAAGGUGGCACUGGAAUGCAAAUCUAUUGGCAAAGGAAUGAGGUAAGUCCAGUUUCAACUAAGUAAAAAUAGUGAUGUCUUGAAUGUUCCCCUAGCAAUCCAGCUACACAAAGAACUGGAUCAUUAGCUGUGGUAUUACUAAGGAGAGAUGAAAGCCACUGUAGCAUUCACUUAUCAGUACGGUGAUAUCUCAGUUCAUUUAAAAGCAGUAUUUGCACUUUCCAUUAUGCUGCCGAGGUAAAAGUGGAAGUGCUCAUUACCUUCCCUGGGAAUCAGAUGCUCCUUCUGGACAAAUAUGCUUGUCACGGCUUCACCAGAUCAUUAUAUUAUAAGGGUAUGAGCUAUCCUGGCAAAUUUGCAGCAGCUUAAAUUAGAAAUCACUGUGGAUAUUGAAGAUACUAAACUUUUACAAGUGAAAUCAUUGUGGAAAGCAAGGCACAAUUGUUGAAGGGUCAUGGGCUUAGCUGGCAGGCAGAAGGGUGAUCUGUGAGCAGAAGGGGUGAUCUGCUCCUCUUGGAGCCAUGAAUGACAAACUGAUCAUCAGACAAAAAAAGGAGGUAGCCUGGCAGGCACACAACAAGGCCCAGAGAUGAUGGAAAUGCAGUGCAGAUCUGCAGCUGGUUUUUAGCUAAACAGACAGCAGUCAAUCCAGACCAAAACACUGGCUUCUUGAUAUUCUAAACCUCAUGUACAGAGGGAGAAGUAUUUAUAAUGUGCAGAUGGUUUACAAAAUUAAGAUCUCCAAAUAGUGGGCUGUCUAAGAAGCAACAGUAAUCUGCAUCUAGACACAGCACUGGGAGAAAAUGGAGAAAAACUGCUGAGAGGCAGUCAUCCCUCAGUAAUACAGGUGGGAAUGGCUGAGGUUUCUACCCUUAGAGGAGAGGGAGAUGCUGCCAUAGUGGAGCCAUGGCUGAAAACGGUUGCAGUGCUCCUUCAAUAUGUCACAAAAAUGUUAUAGCUGGAUUACUUUAUCAGGUCUGGGAGGAUGCCAUGGAGAAACUUGGAGGUAGCUGAAGGCAGCUGGAGAUACCAGUAGUGGGAAAGUGGGAAAUGCAGCUGUGUGAAAGAACUAUUCUUCCUUUUGCAAAGAAACCAUCAAGCUCCAGCAGAUAGUUUAGCUUUCUCCUAGGAUCAUUCCCUGAGAGGAUGACUGUCAAAUGGGAAUGGGUAUAUUGGAUUUCAGAAAACACAAUCAAAAGGUGGGGUCAGGACUCUGGAGAAACUGCAUCUCAAGAGUUGGUUAUUUUUUUGCAAUGUUAUUAGAUAGCUUUUGGCAAGCUCAUGACCUCCAAGUAUAGUCACAAAUGAAAAUUAAUUGGUUUUUUCCUCCCCUUCCAUUUAUCAUGUAUGUAAAUCUUCUGCUAAAAGAUCAGACUUACUUCUGCACCAAGCAAAAAAUAUUAAAAUCAUAGUAACUGAUAACUGGUGAAGAAUCCAACCCCUGUAAGUAUUCUUGAUAUUGCUGAUAAAGCUGGAGUUUCCAGCUUUGAAUGGACAGAAUUACAUGAUUAAUUUUGUUUAGUGGAAUCCUUUGUGCUUUGUAGGUGUUCCAAUAUGUGAACUGGUUUCUUCAAGUUUGCAGAGGUAAUGUCACAGUGCACUGCAUUUAACUGAUGUUUUUAAAAGGUAAUUAUCAAGGAAAAUGGAAAUGGAGGUGGAAGAAAUGGGAGUGUGAGUUUCUUAGAAUACCUCUUAUCGUAAACCAGCAGAAUUAAUUGAUCUUGAUCGAGACUGCUUUAAAAUCACUGUAUAGUCCUUGUUUGCUUUUAAAAAAGGCAGCAAAGAAUUUGGCAGAGUAACUAUUGGCCUCAGUUCUUUGUACAUGUGGACAUUAAAUAUAAAGCUUGUUUCUUGACAAGGGCCAUCCAUAUAUGAAAAUAUCCUAUUAUUAAAUUGUUUUUAAAAAUUGUUCCACAAAGACUUAAAACAUUAUAGAUUUGUUUCAUGGUUAAGAUGCCUGCUCAAAUGCAGUUAUUAUAAUUCGAUAAAAAGAAAAAUCGAUGCAUUGUCUCAAACUACUGUGUCAGUUAAGAGCUAUAUGAAGAAAUGGGAGGUAAAAUCUUGCAAGUACUGCAACACGAGUCCCUGCGUGGAUUUGUAGGGAAGUGGGACUCUCUCAUCUCAAGCUCUGCUGGGUUUUUGCAGCACCGUGGGUUGCCCAAGCUGCCUCAAGGGCUGCUCUGGGGUCUGUGUUCAGCAGACAUGAGGCAGCCAUGGCUGCUUCGCACUGAUCUGUGCAUCCCAACACAGCAUUACUUGGGACAGAAGGGUGCAGGUUAGUAAGCGUGUAUACCCAUAUUAUCUAGUUUUACAAGAAAAAGGAAGCACCUCUUGAGCUGUGAAGCAAACUGUUUCCUUAAGAGGGCGGCAGCUUGUUUAUAUUUUUCUCAGGUGAAACACAUUGAUUUUGAUGAAGGUGGAUUUUUGUUUGGUUGGUUUUUUGCAACAAUGUAUCUAAGAAGAUAAUAUCUCCUGCUGUCUGAAUCCCACUCAGGGAUAUGGAGGAAACCAUCCUGCACAUCUUGUUUCUAUGGAAACUAAUGCAUUUUGCAUGGGGUGCGGCAAGGGAAGAACAGGGCAAAGGAAAAUAAAACUAGAACAAGUAGGUCUAUACCUUUUUUUGUCAUUUGUCUUUGAAGAUUUUAUCUCAUUGUGGUCUGUCUCACCCUUGACUGUAAGGCAGUCUCCCUAAAUCCUAAAGGAAAGAAGGCUUUAAUAUGAUGUUAGACUCAUGAGGUGCUUUGUAAAGACUGCUGAGUGAUAAUUGUCCUUGCUCCAGUGACUUCAAGAGCAUCAGAUUGGAGCCUAUAAUUCCUAACAUGCCCAUAACACUAAAUAUUGUUGAAAUUCUGGGACUGAGUCUGCUACGAAGUACAACAUCACUUAAUUUCCUUGAUUCCAUUGGGAACAUUUGUGAAUCUGAGCACUUUUUCUUCUAGGAAAGAAUGCUAGGACCUGGUACUGUAAAUACACAUUUUUGUAUCUCUUCAUUUUGUGUAGAAAUCCUGGUUUGCAGAGCAACUUUACCAUCAGGUCCAAAGAGUCUGAUUGGCCAAAAAUCUCUUUUCAGUAAUUAGAUAAGGUUCUAUACAGCUGAUUUUUGGAUCAUUGAGAAUGCUGUAAAAUGCAGGAAAACUUCUUGAGAUACCCAAAAGACACCCAUAGAUUAGACAGCAAUUGCUACAUCUGGUCCUUCUGGACACCCCAAAUGCCUAAGGGUGCAGCUCUAGCUGCACCUUUAGGCAUUUCAAAACCUUUCCAAGUUGUUUCAUAGAUCAGUUUUGAAAAUGGGACUUGGACAUCUAAUAUCCCAUUUCAAAAAAAUUGCAGUGUUUCCUAGAUAAACCAAGUAGCAGAAAAACAAACAAAAACACCCUCUGACAUUCUUCCCAUCUCCUACUUAAAUGCACACUGCAGCACAUCGUGCUUUGCCUACAGGUCUGUGUGAUGAAAUAAAGCAAUCAAAUGCAAUGUAUAAUAAUGAUAGCUGUUUCCAGAACUGUCAAGACUCUGCAGUGUCUGGGCCAAACACCCCCAAAAACCUUUAUUCAGCUAUUUUUCCUCCAUACACUGCACAGAUUUAUUACCUUUAUUGACAUUCCAAAUGUUUACACUUUGAACAUUCAUCUGUUAAAGCUGCUUGCUGCAUCUGUAAUCAAUCUCUGUGGUUUCAGUGUCAUGGACAGCAAUACAAAAGCCUUGUUUUAAAGAUCACCUAAACCUUGCGUUAGUCAUUGUUGCUACAUAAGUGAAGCUGGAAUAAUCUACCCAGACUGUGUGUUCAAAAUUGUGUCAGAGAACCUGAUUAGUGUGAGUUAAUGUCACAAAGGACAAAAGCAACUUUACUUUCCAUAGCACCUCCAACAAGGCUUGAAACACUUCAGAAUAGGGCAACUGAGGCUUAAAUUGCUGAAUACUCCCCCAGUUCAACUAACAAUCCUGUCAGCAGUUUAUCCUAUGGGAAAUCUUCCAGUGUCUUGGCAAAUUUCCUCCAGGCUUAGGAACAAAAAAGCAGAUAAUUGGCUUUUAGCUGAGAGAAGGCAAGCCACCUUCUCACUGUGAACACCUUUGGAAAUAAACCAGUGUGCAUUCAGCUAUAUUGUGAACUCUGACUGGGAUGUGAGGGCCACCAGUCACUGUCUUUCCAGAAUUCACAAGCUGUAUACCCAGCCAGAGAAAAAUAUGUUCUGGGUUCCUUGUGACAUGAUGCACUUGAGUGAAGGCUGCUUGUUUUAUAAAAACUCUGUGUUAUUUUUGGUUUUCAUUUCAGCCAACAGUUUCAUGCAUUUGUACAUCUCAUCCCCCAAGUGCCUGAGAAACUCACAACCUCCUAGGAAUCUCCUCUCAGACAUCCUUUCAAGGGGUGGCAGCCUGAACAACCUUUGACUUAUGGAUGGCCCAGAUUCAGGCCAUCAAAUUUCCAAGAGCCCAGUCCCAGGUAAAGAGAGGCACAGGGACUCGGGUGGAUUUCAGGUCAUGCAGUCUCUUCAGCCCUGAAUCAUGGCCUAGAUUUACCACAGUGUUUGCACCCUUCAAGUCCAGUUUCUGCAGGCAGACAGGUGGCCUUUCAUCAUGCUGGACUGUGCACAAGGGCUUUGUGGCAGAGCAAGAAGUUGAACUGAUAUCCAGUGAUGGAUGGAAGAUAGUUUUUCCAUUUCAACAGUAAGGCAUUGACAGACCGACCCUCUGCAACAUGAGCUUGGCAUCACCCUCCCUGCUAGCAUGGGGACUACUGGCCUCCUGCUCUGCCCAGCCAGAGGUGUAUCAUUCGCUGGUUUUGCUGCUCUUUAAGGCUGUAGAUUAAAGAUUCUUCUUGGGAACUAAGCCCACUCAAUUGUGAAUGAAAGAAUAUCUUCAGUUUGUCUGUGUCCUAUCUUAUGGUCCACGUCCAUCCGUUUUCCAUCAAUACUCCUACUUGCUGCUUUUGUGGCACACUGAUGAUAACAGCUCCCAUUGAUAAAGCACAGGCACUAACUUUGAGGUUAGCAUGUCUUUGCCCAUCAACCUGUUUAUACAUCUGCUCACUUUUUCCCCUAUGCUGUUGAUCAGGAUCUGUUAUAAAAUAUUGUCACAUAUACAAGGGUCCUCAACCACAGCCAUCCCACCAAAUGAAUGGAAAAUAGACAGCAUCAUUUAAAGCACAAUAACAUUACCAAGCGACAUUUCUCUUCCCAUUGCCUCAGGUGCCAAGGGAUUUGCCAGUCUGGCCCUUGUUCAGCUGGACUUUGCUUGGGUAUUUUUGGAGUGAGGUGCUGUUCCAAGCCCUUCGUGAAUAUCCUGCAUCUGGAUGCCCCUUUCUUCUCUAAAGAAGAUGAGCAGAGAACCACACUCACAGCAAUGGCAUUCCAAGAAAAGGUGGAUACCCAAGUGGUAAAAAUAGCUUUGGAAGAGCUCUCCUUGCCCACUCCACUUCACCCAAGCUCUAGUUCAUUUUUCGCCUUCAGCUUCACUGCCUUCUGUUCAUGGGCUAAGGAAAACAGAAGCCGAGCUUCUUUUGGAUAACAAAGUUCUUUCUUUUGGGAGAAGAAAGUUCUUUUUUUCAGAAGAAGAAAGUUCCUGCAUUGCCCAUGCAGCCAUGGAAAGAACUGACUUCUCCAACCAACUACCUAACCCAAAGCACCGUAGCAAGUAUUCAGAAUUGUCAGCUCGAGCCCCAGGCUGAGCCCCAUCUCUGAUGUCAUCGGACUUUGCAACAGUCUGACACCACUGCUGCUUUUCUCAAAGACAACUAUAGUCUGGAUUUCUUCUUCCCUUCACACUGACCCAAGUGCUUGCAUGCUGCAAGGGCAGAUUCACACUUAAGACUGGAAGCUGCUGAUGUUGGUGACACUUCCAGGAUCUUGUGAGUGACAUGUCCAGGAGGGAAGGCCAAGCUGUUGGCACUGAUGCUGGACCACUCUAUCAAGCAACAGAGAAACUGCUUUCCGAGCCCCACAGCUGUUUCUGGUGUUUGCCAUAGAGAUGCUUCUCCCGCCUAAAGGACUGGUGCUUGCUGCAGGUUAGAAGAGACCCUCAAGAUCAUUGAGUCCAACCAUUAACCUAACUCUGGCACUAAAUGACAUCCCUAAGAACCUCAUCUAUACAUCUUUUAAACAUCUCCAGGGAUGGUGGCUCAGCCACUUCCCUGGGCAGCCCGUUCCAAUACAUAAUCACCCUUUCUGUGAAGAAUUUUUCCUAAUAUUCAACCUAAACCUCCUACAGUGCAAGUUGAGGCCAUUUCUUCUUGUCCUAUCACUUGCUCCUUGGGAAAAGAGACCAACACCCUCCAUGCUACAACCUCCUUUCAGGUAGAUCUUGAAGGUCUGUUCCAACCAAAAUGAUUCUAUGAUUCUAUGCCAGCUCCUUGGUGUCAUGACAGUUCAGAGCUGGUUGUUUUCUGGAGCAUAAUGAGACCUUUUUAUAGAAGACCAAUCCAGACAUUCAGCUAUUUGGUUACUGGACAAUCAGAGCCAAAGCAGAACAGCCCCGAAUUUACAAAAAAUUGAAAUUUAAUUCUCUCCCCACUCCUCCCUUCAUCAAAAACCUGUGAAACCACCCAUCAGGAGAUAUUAUUAAUGCCAAGAAUGUAAUAGGAGACAAAGCCACAUUAGUUGCUUUUAUGGCUAGGGAGAGGGUGCUGAGUUGCAGCAGUGAAAAUUUAGUUAGCAGGUUUUUGCAAAGGUUAGAAAUACACAUCUCCCAGCCUUAGAGCAGCUGCUAGUUGGUGGAAGUUGGGGACCAAUUUUGUUUUGGACAGAUUUCUGUUUUCUAAGGGGUUUUCUGCCUUCCCAGUGGCAAAAGGUUAUGAGCAGUUAUUCAAUCCUGUCUAGAAAUUCUGUUUUUAUUGGCAUUACGUACUCUACACUGAUUUCCAACUGUAGUCACUGAAGUCCUGGGGACUCAUAUUGCUUAAUCACCUAGCAUUAUGCUAAAAUUCCUAUUUGGCCAAACAGGUACAUUAUGCAAAACCAAAGAUCAUUUAUGUUUCCAGUACUUUUCCUAAUACUCUCACUGGUACUAAACCUUUGAGCAGUUCCAGUCUCUCUGCCCCCCCUCGGCAGGUAACUGAGAGGAGUAAUGGCUCCUCAUGGCCACAAUAAAUACAUUUUUCUUUAGCUGUUAUUCACAGAAUAUUCUCUGUUCCAGGCAGUUUUGAGAAGUUAUUUUGCCUGAACAAAUGAAUCUUUGCUUUAGAUCCUGUGGGAUGUGUUUUCAUGAAUACUUUAUUUUGCAGUGUAAUUAAUGCUAUUAGUGUUAAUGAGAUUCAUAUCUUCAAAUCCCUGCACAUCCUGCUGCCAUUGUGCCCCUGUGUGCCUUACCUGGAAUAUGUAUACAAGUGAAGCAAGAAACAGAAAGAGAACAACCAAAGCCAGAAGCUGAGAAAUCAAAGGCUUUAAAUGAAGGAUACAGCUGCACAGGGAAACAUUCACUUAGAUGGGUGCCUUUCUUGGGGUAAUCUUGCUGGCAGCACCAAGGGUUUAUUCCCAAACGUGGUUGUGCCCAUCAGAGAAAGUAUUCUUCUGGAAGAAGUGAACAUGGAGACAAGGAGGUGGACAGCCAUUGACAGAGCUCUGUAUCUUGAAUCCUUCUCUAUAAUUUUCUCUGUGAAGCUUCCUCCACCUGAAUUCCCAUGCAAUAAGAUGGCUUUGGCACUAUGGCAUGAGCCUACCAUCUCAUGCUGGACUGGCCCUCAGCCAUGCAACCUGACAGUAACACAUCAUGACAGCAAGAUCGCUGCUAGCAGCUGGUGGCUGAUGCCUUUGCAUCUUUGCCUGUGCCGUAGUCCUGGAAAACAAAAUUGGCUGCCGUUCAUGCUGCAAGGUAGCUUGGGAAGAGAGGGCAUCUCCCAGUGGGAAGCAGAUGGGACUUGCAGGGCAGUGCUUACCAACAGUCACACCGCUGUAUCCUUAGCCUGUCUUCAGAAGAGCCCAAGAUUCCACUUCUUGCUGCCCAAAGGAAGAAGCCACGUGCUGCAGAUCUCAAAAAUGCAGUUUUCACAGGCCAGGAGAAUUCCAAGAUGCUGCUGCAGAUGAAGAAAUCCAUUAUUUAAAAUAGGCACAACCCACAUACAUUCCCAGCGAAGACACAGCCUAAGGCUGAAAGAAAUGUAACUCGAAAGUGCCCUAAACAGCAGAGCUGGAUGAAGUUGGCAUAUGGAUGAGGGAGGCUGGAUGACCUUCACUCCCUAAUGGAUUCACUCCUGAGCUAAAUACAUCGAAGGCUUUGGCUGUAUCUAUUCAUCAAACUAAUGGUGUGAUGGUAGAUGCACUUAUUGGAUUAAAUCAACACUAAGGCAUAGGUUUAAGUUAACAAACAGUGAGUUCCCCAAAGUCCCUGAAGUAUGUGAUGUCUGCUGGCUGAUCCUCCAAAACCAACGGGCAUUGUGUCAGAAGAUGUAUCAUAAAAUGUCAUAAAGACUUUUUAAUGUAUUAUAAAAAAAUUAGAUAAAAGGCUUACUCAAUGAUGACCUUCACCUAAAUAAAUGCAUACCAGAGUCUCAGACACAGAAUCAUAGAGUU